rnacentral:lncRNA from 1 species
CAUUUAUGACCUUUCCAUGUGAUUGGGUGAACUUAGUCAUGUGGUCUGCCCUGAACCAAUGACAGCACCCGAUGUCUCUGGUGCUCAAAGUUGGGAGGGGGUGUUCCUUUCCCGGCAGUAGGGGACUGGAGGGAGGAGGAGUUUGUUGGGAAGCCCCAGUGGAUGGAACUUUUAAGAGCUAGUGACCCCUGUGGGCUGGGGCGGGAAGACUGUGAGUUAUACAAACAACCUAAGCAGCAAGGAGCGGCCCAGCACUCCGCGCUGUGGAUCCCCGGAGGAAGUGGUUUAUUUGGACUGAGGGUGGAGGUGUGUUUGCCAAAGGUCCCUGGAGCCUCGCCUCUGAAGCCUGAAAUCUGAGAAAGUGUUCUGUCUGCAUAUUUGCCUGCACACCAGAAGAGGGACCAGAUCUUAUGAUAGAUGGUUGUGAGUCACCAUGUGGUUCCUGGGAAUUGAAUUCAGGACUUCCGGAAGAGCAGCCAAUGCUCUUAACCUCUGAGCCAUCUCCCGAGCCCAAGGUCCUGGGAUGUGCUUCUCUCAGCCUGGUCUUCUAGCCUUAUGCUGUGAAAAGCCAUCCCUGUUAGUAACACUCAGGGCCAUGCCGCUCAGACACACCCUUCUCAGUCCAGGAGUGGACCCAGCGGCUGAAGGACAUAGGCUGCUGGCUCACCAGAAGAAAGGAAUCCUUCCAGAACCACACCUCCAAACCCAGAGGCCAGAAGCAGAUGGCAGCAGCAGAUAAGUGCAGGGGGUUCACUUGUCAGGGCUCUGACCGCGUCUGGGAGGGAUCAGCUGGGACAAGGGGCGUGUUCUUCUGCCACAGGCUGUUCCUGGUGUGUUGUGGAACGAGGCCGGGCAGAGGCAGCAGUACACGGUGUUCUGCAGGAAGGCAGGCAGGCGAGCUCCAAAUACGGACAUGCGAUAGGAAGCUUGGCUCCAGGAGUGCAGACGCCUCACACAGGAAGCAAACCAACCAGCCCAACCCAGCUCCCAAGUGUCACACAGCCAGGGAGGGAGACGGGGUGUGUGUGUGUGUGUGUGUGUGUGUGUGUGUGUGUGUGUGUGGGUUUGCUGUCGGGAGCAUGGAGUGCAGCUGGGAAGACAUCAGACCGGCACAGCUGCUUCUGAUUCCUGAAUUGCAGGGGCUCUGCAGGCUGCUGGGGUCCCAGGGCACCUCUGAACUGGAGAGAGCCUUUAUUCCUUGGGAAGUGAAGGGCUCUUGCCAUCUGGGAAAGAAUACAUUUGCUGUUGAGUUUCAAAUGGCUUUAUGCCCCUUCUGCUUGCAGGCUGCGAUGUGAGGAACUGAUUGUCCAGGCUUCAAAAGACCAAAUAAAUAAGCCGAUAAAUGAACCAUGAACCACCGAAGAGCCCUGAGCCACCAAAGAGAGGAAGAACGGUCCUCAGUCAAACCAAACUUUCUGAGGAGGAAGGGCUGGCCUUCUCAGCUCUGUUGUUGCUUUAGAAGCAGCUGAGGAGUUGACUGCCCCUGCAACUCUCCCAGGGCAACGCUGGCUGUCCCUGCACCUUUCAGAAAGGGAAAUAGUCCCUUCAUCUGAGCCAGGGCCACCAGCUCUGCGGUGAGGACCAAUUCUCUAUGUUGAAGGUCAGGUUUCUACUCUGAGUUGAAAGAAUAACUGGAAAGGCAGGCGUCUGGGAGACUCCUGCCACCGGUUGCUACCCACGUGAUAGCUGAUGGUGACUGGGGGGCAGUGGGCUGUGAAAUGUGCCAUCUGAAGUCAGAGCGGACUUGAGUUUGAACACCACCCCCUCUGCUUACCAGCUGCUUUACCCUGGUAAGUAAUGAAUUCCCAUUAAGACUCCAUCUCCUCCUGUGUUGGAAGCACUAUGACAUUCAACCUGGAUAGUGAAAUGGAACCAGACAGUCUUGGGUGAAGUCUUCCUAGACCGAUGAACAAAUGUCUACUCACCAACCACAGACCAAAAAAAAAAAACCCAAAAAAACAAAAAAAACAAUUCACACCCAAGUCUGUCUUGGUGUAGCAGUGAAUUCAAUUCCAGCUACUUACAGGUGUGUGGCAGCUUGUGAGCUUUGUUUUGUUUUGUUUUGUUUUUUGUUUUUUUUUUUUUUUUCGAGACAGGGUUUCUCUGUCCUGGAACUAGCUCUUGUAGACCAGGCUGGCCUCGAACUCACAGAGAUCCACCUGCCUCUGCCUCCCAAUGCCCGGCAGCUUGUGAGCUUCUAUACACUGAAGAAAAGGUUUCUUACUCCCCGCCUCUCCCCGCCCCAGUCCAUAUAUCCUCAGGAGGGGCAGGGUCUUGUGAACCUCUUGCCCCAGGAACUGCUUAUGUACACAGAGGUUCCCAGGAAUGGAUGGCUUUCCCAGAGUUCCUUCUGUCAGUCAUGGAAACUGAGAGAGGAGAGAGAGAGAGAGAGAGAGGAGAGGAGAGGAGAGGAGAGAGAAGAGAGAGAGAGAGAGAGAGAGAGAGAGAGAGAGAGAGAGAGAGAGAGAAUGUUUCCCUGUGGCUCCCCUAGCAACAUCUAACUGUCUAUAUAUCUUCAGGGAGAGGCCAGGCUUCCGAACCACACCCAUCUGGAGAGUUUAACUGGCUCAGUCUUUGCAAGUUUCUUUUGAAUAGUCCCAGCUGCUGAGAAUUCAAGGUGAGGGCCUUGUCAUGCCUAGAGGACAGAGUUCCUAGCAGAUGGCACAUUGCAAUGCAUUCAAAAGGUGCUUAUUAAGUGCCCCAUAAUCCUCUAGUAACAGGAAGGGCUGUUAUUAUCAGUUUCUUGUGUAAGUGACUUCUCCCUGAAUAAAAUUAACCUAUGAUGAUGGUGGUGGUGAUGACAUGAGACUUGAGUAGAAGCCACUGUGAGCUUGAGGGACCAAACAAUGAGCAACGGGUGGCAUAAGAUGUCCUGAUCCAGGUAGCCACUUCUGUUACUGCCUAUCCAUUUUCAGAAGCCUUCAAUAGAAUUUAGUUUUUGUUUUUCUUUUUUGAGACAGGGGUUUUCUGUAGCUUUGGAGGCUGUCCUGGAACUAACUCUUGUAGACCAGGCCGGCCUCGAACUCACAGAGAUCUGCCUGCCUCUGUCUCCUGAGUGCUGGGAUUGAAGGCGUGCUCCACCACUGUCUGGCUCCUUCAAUAGAAUUUUAAAAACUUUUAUUAUGAGCUUUGGAUCCUCUCCUGGCACUCACUCCGGAGACCAGGCUGGCCUUGAAUUCACAGAGAUCCGCCUGCCUCUGCCUCCCGAGUGCUGGGAUUAAAGGCGUACGCCACCAACGCCUGGCGUGUGUGGACAUUGUAAGACAACUUUUGUUUUGAGAUAGGAUCUUCCCAUGUAUCUUAGGCUGGCCUUGAACUCAUCAUAUAGCCAAGGCUAGCCUUGAACUCCUUAUAAUCACAAGUCUCCACUUUCUUAAGUGUUAAGAUUACAGGCUUGCAUCAUCACACCCAGCUCAAACUGGCUUUUAUAACAGACUUACCACCAAGGUGACUCAUUGAUCUGUUAAUCCUGGAUGGAUUAAUACAUUCCUCCAGGCAGAAUCCUCUAGACUAAUCAUUUCUCUAGCCAGUGAGAUGGCUCAGGUAUAGUGCUUGCUGAUGAACCUGACAAUAUGAGUUCAAUCCCGGGACCUACACAACGGAAGAACAGCACUGAUUUUUAAAAGUAGCUGUUUGGGGGCUGGAGUGAUGGUUUAGUGGUUAAGAUCAGUGGCUGCUCUUAUAGAGGAACUGGAUUGUAGAAGGAGACCUACCAGAGGCACCGUGGCGCUGACCAUGCCCGUUUGGGCAUAGUCACGGGUGUGUACAUGAGCAAGUAGGAUUUGGUCUGGGCCAGGGACAAGCUUGUUCUCUCUUGGUUCCGGUUGGGUUGUGAAGAGCCACUGGGCGUGGAUCCUUGGAGCUGGGACUUGAGGAUUAUCAGUUUCUUGUGUAAGUGACUUCUCCCUGAAUAAAAU